ACAAUGUCUUUGGCUGCUGGCAACAGUAGAUCCUCAGAAAUGAUGUGAGGUUUCAUAGUUCUGGCGAUUCUGAGUGCCACCAAAUAUGAAGCUUCAAUGGCUGCUACGUUUUGUUUGUGGUACUUACCACCAGUGUCAAGUCUGGUUUUCUUGAGUCCAUCAGCUUUGCUUCUAAAAUAGUUUGUAUCCUUGUUGGAAAAGCUUUGAUGCUUGCUAUCAAAAUGGCGUUUUAGUUUGUUCGGCUUCAUAGAUUCAGCUGAUAGAACUUCACAACAAAUAACACAUUGUGGUUUCUCAAUUCCUGCUAUAAUUAUUGAGGUAAAACCAUACUGUAAAAAAUCCUCACUAUAUUUUCUUUUCUUAACGUUCUUCUCUACACGAUCCAUUGUCAUGGGAUGGUUUGCAAGAAGGAUCAGG